CAUCUAACUCUCCCUCCCAGAGAGGGACUCCAGUGAGAGCCUGGGGUUUUGGAAGGUCAGGCAGGCCAGGGCUGCCCUGGAUUGCUGGCUGGGCAUAGAGUCAGUAUGCCCAUAGUGUCAAAGGAUAAAACAGGACCAGUAAUCAGCAACUUAGGAAGCUGCAUCAAAAGGACAAGCCAACUAUCCAAGCAGCGAUUUCAACCAUCGCGCACAGAUCGGAUGGGAGCUCCCGACUGCUAUUCCAGCACCGUGUCAGCCUGUCUGCCAGCUCCAUUCCCUUCCAGGGCUGUCAUGACUAAGCCUCUGAAACUAAUGGAUGUUUCCUGCCCCUUGAGAAAGUAUCUAUAGCUUUCACAACCUCAAAAUGGAUCUUGUAGCCGGGCCGAGCUUCACGCCUGUGACGAUAAGGGUGUACCUAAAACCCCAGCGAUCUCAGUAACCUGGAUGUUGAAGCAGGAAGAUCAUGAGUUCGAGGGUAACCUCUGGCAUGUCAGCUGCCCGAGACUUUGACUCUUUUAAUAGACGUAAACACCACUGCUCUCAAACUAUUAAGUUGUUUUGUCCUCUCCCUAGCCUUUAACCACCAUAUAGCCAACCACUCCCUAAUCCACCCACAGCUCAUACCAGGGGAUAAUGAGACCUCAAAGGAACACGACAAUGUAAGAUUCAAAGAAAUGCUGAGAAUGAGAACAAGAAGAGACUGUACUGUAAACAUUUUAUGUCCAGCUCAGCCCUCCUUGAACCUGGGUCAGGAGCCUGGCAAGGUCAGGGGAAAAACUCGGAAAGAAUUGAGUGAAAUAAAGGCUGCGCGUGCAAAAUCGCUGGCUGCUAGUGGCGCAGGAGAGGAGCACUCAGCUCGUGGGUGGGGAUGGAAGAGAAUAGGAGAGAAACCACAGCACCUCAAUGUCCCUGGCAGCCGCUAGAGUCAGACUCCGCACGGUUCCUACAGCAGAAGCCAGAAACCCUGCCCUGCAGCCACGGUGCCUUUGACGGACAGCUACCUACAGCAAUCGCUUUCCAGUUCACUAUAAACAUCCUUACUCUUCCCGCCUUCCGCUGUCCUCCCAACCAUUCCAGGGAAUGGGCGGGAUUGUCCUUCGUG
ensembl:lncRNA